AGUUACGUGCCCCUACAAAAACCCCUUCCUCUGCGCACUCAUAGCUUUUUGUGCUUAUAUACACAGAAGGAAUUGAACUAAUUAGCACACAUAAGAGGCUGCGUAAUCCACAUCCUUUUGGAAAUGGGAAGCACAUGAUGUCAGAUGAAACAAGAUCCGACAACAGAGAAUUAGUACUAUUUACUGAGUGUACACAAUGUGAGAGGUCUCCAAGCAGAACCUCUGUAUCUACAUAGACAUUCUCUCUGGAGCAGGUCAGAAUUGUCCAGGAAUAGCAGAACUGCAUGAACCCUGUGGUAUUCAAACUGGAAACUGAAGACUUCUUUGGACUGCUGCCAGUAAAAAUACAUGGAUUUCUACAAAGAAACAAACGUCUAGGCAGAACCAAAUGAGCAAAGGAGAGUCUUCAUCUUUCUUUCAGUCCCAAAUAGAAGCAAGUGAGGGGCCAGAUGACCUGCUGAGGCUUGCUGCAUGACCUGGAGGUGAAAGGGAUGGCAUUUUCCUUAGAAACAAUUAAGGAGUUUCCCAAACAAGCAACCCACUAAAUUACACAAUCCAUAUUUCUCUUCCAAUCUUCCCAUUCUGAUUUCAGUGAUUCAUAAUUUUAGAAUCACCUUUUCCUAGCACUCCCUAGGGGACGAUAGCAUUAACUUUGGAAUAGUAAACUGCUGUGGUUUGGAUCGCAAAUGUUCCCCAAAUGCCCAGGUAUUAAUGUCUUGGUCCCUGGCCUCUGAAGCUAUUGGGAGGUGGGAGCCUCAGAAGGUGGAGGUUAAUGGAAGUUAGGCUAUUGGGGAUGUGUCUUUGAAAGGGAUACAGGGACUCAUUCUUGUCUUACUCUUGGCUUCCAAGCUGACAUGACGAAAGAGAAUUGGUUUGCUGUGGGAUCCUGCCAUGAUGUGCUACUUUUCUUCAGAUUUGAAACAGCAGAGCCAAUGGGUCGACACUGGACAAAGACUUCAACACUGUGAGAGAGAAAACAAAAACAAAAACAAGAAGAACAAAAAAACAAAAACAAACAAACAAAAAAAAAACACCCUUUCCUACCUUCAGCAGUUCACUUUGAGAAUGAUUGGCAGCUGGAUCCAUCCAUGUCAAAGCAAUCUCAACCUAAAGAGUUUCCUUUCUCUCGUCCUUCCUUCCCCCCUCUCCCCUCCCUUCCCUUCUCUUCCCCGUCUUUCCCACCUUCCUCCUUCCCUCCUUUGCUUCCUCCCUCCCUUCCUCCCUUCCUCCCUCCUUUGUAUAGCAUAUGUAUCAAUUAGAUGGAUGAACUCUACACUGUUUCAGUUCAUAGAGCUCCCUUAGGACUAGAAAUGAUUUGCAUAUUAGCUUAAAAUAUGACUGAUUCAUGGAUGAACUUGUGUUUCCUAUAGGAUGUAUACUCCAAAGGAUGAAUUCCUAACAAAGAAUGGUAGUUCCAUGAAGAACACUAACUCAUAGACUCUCUCCACUGUCCUUCUCCUGGCUAGAUGUGAAGCCAUGGCUCUGCCCAUAUCCUCAGGUAAGUGUGAUGGAUCCUUUCCCCAUUGAUGACCCAGGAAGGCAAGGAAAUGAAGAGGGAGCCUUUGGCACCCGGCAUGCUUAGAAACAUACAUGGAAUUGGAUCUCUCAUGCUGUGACUUGGUUCAGUAGAACAGACUUCACUGUGAAAGAUUAUCAGCAAGCCCAGUCCCCUUUGUCUAUAGCUUCAUAGUGGCUUGCUUAUUCAUAACCCUCCCCGUUCUGAAAAGGCAAGGCCCAGUGUUGAAA